UUUUCCCCCUUUUUUUGUUAUUUUCCCAUUUUUUGUAAUUUCCCAUUUUUCCCAUUUCCCCAUUUUUUUGUAGUUUCCCCAUUUUUGUUAUUUCUCUUGUUUUUUCUUAUUUUCCCAUUUUUUUUAGAUUUUCCCCAUUUUUGUACUUCCCCAUUUUUUGUUAUUUUCCCUUUUUUCCCAUUUCCCCAUUUUUUUGUAUUUUCCCAUUUUUGCUAUUUCUCAUUUUUUGUUAUUCUCAUUUUUCCCCAUUUCCCCAUUUUUUUUGUAUUUCUCUUUUUUUUAAUUAUUUCCCAUUUUUCCCAUUUCCCCAAUUUUUUGUAUUUUCCCCAUUUUUUGUUGUUUCCCAUUUCCCCAUUUUUUUGUUAUUUCUCCUUUUUUUUGUAACUUCCCAUUUUUCCCAUUUCCCCAUUUUUUUGUAUUUCUCUUUUUUUUUUGUAAUUUCCCAUUUUUCCAUUUCCCCAUUUUUUUGUUAUUUCCCAUUUUUUGUAACUUCCCAUUUUUCCCAUCUUUCCCAUUUCCCCAUUUUUUUGUAUUUCUCCUUUUUUUUAUUAUUUCCCCAUUUUUUUUGUUAUUUCUCUU
rnacentral:lncRNA from 12 species